rnacentral:misc_RNA from 1 species
UCCAUUUUCGCCUCAAAUUACUGCCCCAAGACGCGAGAUACGGAACUCUUGAUGUUGUUCAGAAACUUUUCCCUGUCUGGCUUGAAUAGUAGGUUUUGAUAUAUGAACAACCAUGCAACCAAUAUGCCAAUUAAUUCAAAGAGUAGAGGGAGAACAGGAAGCUUGUCGAUGACCUCUACAAGAUUUAUAGAAGCCCAUAAUGCGGCAAUCCCUGCAAAUCCUAUACCAGCUAGAGCAAAGAGGUCUUCAGGACUGCUGAACGAACUCUG